CCCCACUGUGACAAACACCAGUACAUCUAGUAUUCACCAGUACAAACACCAGUACAUCUAGUAUUCACCAGUACAAUAACCAGUACAUCUAGUAUUCACCAGUACAAUAACCAGUACAUCUAGUAUUCACCAGUACAAUAACCAGUACAUCUAGUAUUCACCAGUACAAUAACCAGUGCAUCUAGUAUUCACCAGUACAAUAACCAGUACAUCUAGUAUUCACCAGUACAAUAACCAGUACAUCUAUUAUUCACCAGUACAAUAACCAGUACAUCUAGUGUUCACCAGUACAAUAACCAGUACAUCUAGUAUUCACCAGUACAAUAACCAGUACAUCUAGUAUUCACCAGUACAAUAACGAGUACAUCUAGUAUUCACCAGUACAAUAACCAGUACAUCUAGUAUUCACCAGUACAAUAACCAGUGCAUCUAGUAUUCACCAGUAAGUACAUCUAGUAUUCAGAGGUAGAAUAACCAGUACAUCCAGUAUUCAGAGGUACAAUAACCAGUACAUCUAGUAUUCAGAGGUAGAAUAACCAGUACAUCCAGUAUUCAGAGGUACAAUAACCAGUACAUCUAGUAUUCCGAGGUACAAUAACCAGUACAUCUAGUAUUCAGAGGUAGAAUAACCAGUACAUCCAGUAUUCAGAGGUACAAGGUACUCAUAAUCAUGGAGACGUGUAAUGCUUUACUGUGGGUUACCUGCUUUACCUGCACUACAUUGACACGAGCGCAGGUGAAGCAGGUCAGUGAGUCCUGGGGGUGACCCUUCCCCUAGUCUGACCCCAGGUCAGUGAGUCCUGGGGGUGACCCUUCCCCUAGUCUGACCCCAGGUCAGUGAGUCCUGGGGGUGACCCUUCCCCUAGUCUGACCCCAGGUCAGUGAGUCCUGGGGGUGACCCUUCCCCUAGUCUGACCCCAGGUCAGUGUGUCCUGGGGGUGACCCUUCCCCUAGUCUGACCCCAGGUCAGUGAGUCCUGGGGGUGACCCUUCUCCAGGUCUGACCCCAGGG